UUUGAUAAAACGCUAAAUUUACAAAAAAACGCGGCGAUAACACUGGGCUAUCGGAACCGAUGACACCGCGCACAGUACUGUUUUCUAAUAUAUUAUUUUUUUAGGUUUAAAAAAGUAUUUUUCGGGUUUGAUGGUUUGUGAAUUUACGGUUCGUUUGAGUGAAAUGGAACGUGUGAAACGCUUAUCGGCGGACGUCCCACAUGACUCGCUAACAAAACAUAAAACAUUCAAAAUGGUGGAGAGUCAAACACAACACUUCUGCCUGCGGUGGAACAACUACCAGCGCAGCAUCACUAGCGCCUUCGAGAACCUUCGGGAUGACGAGGACUUCGUGGACGUGACCCUGGCGUGCGAUGGGAAGAGUCUGAAGGCGCACCGCGUCGUGCUAUCCGCUUGCAGCCCGUACUUCAGGGAGCUGUUGAAAUCAACGCCAUGCAAGCACCCAGUGAUCGUGCUCCAAGAUGUGGCCUUUACGGACCUGCACGCGCUGGUCGAGUUCAUCUACCACGGCGAGGUCAACGUGCACCAGCACAGCCUGUCCUCGUUCCUCAAGACCGCUGAGGUGCUGCGCGUGUCUGGACUCACGCAUAAUGACGGAGCUCAGACUGCGCCGCUGCUGCAGACGAUGCGCACCUCAGCAGCACCAUCUCCACAUACUCCGCCGCACACCGCGCACUCAAGCCACAUGCCACACACGCCCAACUACACCGAGAAACUCGAGGAGGCCCUCCUCCAACCAUCCUCUAGCGUGCCGCCGAUGAUGCGCAGAAUCCCGCUGCCGCCCCCGCGCCGCAUGAGCAGCUCAGCAGACAACUCCCCUGACGUCAUCAAGCGCCCGCGCCACGACAACAAUAACGAACAGCCACAGAUACAUGCAGCAGACUUCUCUACAAAGAACCACUCGAUGGUGAACAACCGAGCCCACGCCGAGCCCGGAAACAACGGCAACGGCAUCAGCAAUAGCAGCUCGUCCCCGUCCCCCCGGCUGAUCGACGAGGUGAAGAACGAGCCCCUGGACAUGAUAUGCCCCUCGAACCCUGAUAUAGACAGGAGCACUGAUGAUACACCGCCGCAUUCCCAUCAUCGGCCAAUGGGAGGAGGCCCUCCAUCACGCGGCAGCUCAGCGGAUGCUGAAGACCGCACGCCACCACCGCAGCUGCCGCCUUCGCCGUUCAUACCGCCACCAGACACCAAGCUCUUCACUCCCUCGAACACCUACAACUUCACCAUGGAAGCCCUCACUCAGCAUCCAGGACUUACCAAUCUGCAGAGCCCGCUGUCCGCCGACGGGAUGGCCAGCACGUCGCAAGGUAAAAAGUUAUUCUCGUGUUCACUAUGCGGCAAAGUACUGUGCUCAAAGGCCUCUCUGAAGAGACAUAUCGCGGAUAAGCACGCCGAGAGGCAGGAGGAGUACAGGUGCACCAUUUGCGAGAGGGUGUACUGCUCGAGAAACUCCCUGAUGACUCACAUUUACACCUACCACAAGUCGAGGCCAGGGGAGACAGAUCCAAUCCGGUUUUUUUAGUGACUACUCGGACGGAGUUGGCGUGGCAUGCGGCAGUACUCAUCUAGCAAAGAGAACCAUCACGAGACCAAUCUCCACUCGUCCGCCGUACUUACCAUCACACACAAAGCUGUACCGCCCCUCCGUAUGCCCCCGCCCACCGCCGGCGGCAUCAACGAGCCUCAAGAGUGUCCCUACUGCCGCAGGACAUUCUCUUGUUACUAUUCACUGAAACGACACUUCCAAGACAAGCACGAGCAGUCCGACACGCUGUACGUGUGCGAGUUCUGCCACCGGAGGUACCGCACCAAGAACUCGCUGACGACGCACAAGAGCCUGCAGCACCGCGGCUCCAGCGGCAUGCUCAAGCGGCUGCUCAAGACCUCCGCGCUGCACAGCGCGCUCGCGCCGGCGCCGCACCACCUGUUCGACCUCGGC
rnacentral:misc_RNA from 1 species